AUGAGUGGCGAACGGGUGAGUAACACGUGGGAAACCUACCUCUUAGCAGGGGAUAACAUUUGGAAACAAAUGCUAAUACCGUAUAAUAAUUAAAACCGCAUGGUUUUAGUUUAAAAGAUGGUCUUGCUAUCACUAAGAGAUGGUCCCGCGGUGUAUUAGUUAGUUGGUGAGGUAAUGGCUCACCAAGACAAUGAUACAUAGCCGAGUUGAGAGACUGACCGGCCACAAUGGGACUGAGACACGGCCCAUACUCCUACGGGAGGCAGCAGUAGGGAAUCUUCCACAAUGGACGAAAGUCUGAUGGAGCAACGCCGCGUGUGUGAUGAAGGGUUUCGGCUCGUAAAACACUGUUGUAAGAGAAGAAUGACAUUGAGAGUAACUGUUCAAUGUGUGACGGUAUCUUACCAGAAAGGAACGGCUAAAUACGUGCCAGCAGCCGCGGUAAUACGUAUGUUCCAAGCGUUAUCCGGAUUUAUUGGGCGUAAAGCGAGCGCAGACGGUUAUUUAAGUCUGAAGUGAAAGCCCUCGGCUCAACCGAGGAAUUGCUUUGGAAACUGGAUAACUUGAGUGCAGUAGAGGAAAGUGGAACUCCAUGUGUAGCGGUGAAAUGCGUAGAUAUAUGGAAGAACACCAGUGGCGAAGGCGGCUUUCUGGACUGUAACUGACGUUGAGGCUCGAAAGUGUGGGGUAGCAAACAGGAUUAGAUACCCUGGUAGUCCACACUGUAAACGAUGAGUGCUAGUUGUUCGAGGGUUUCCGCCCUUGAGUGACGAAGCUAACGCAUUAAGCACUCCGCCUGGGGAGUACGACCGCAAGGUUGAAACUCAAAGGAAUUGACGGGGACCCGCACAAGCGGUGGAGCAUGUGGUUUAAUUCGAAGCAACGCGAAGAACCUUACCAGGUCUUGACAUCCUUUGACCACUCCAGAGAUGGAGCUUUCCCUUCGGGGACAAAGUGACAGGUGGUGCAUGGUUGUCGUCAGCUCGUGUCGUGAGAUGUUGGGUUAAGUCCCGCAACGAGCGCAACCCUUAUUGUUAGUUGCCAGCAUUUAGUUGGGCACUCUAGCAAGACUGCCGGUGACAAACCGGAGGAAGGCGGGGAUGACGUCAAAUCAUCAUGCCCCUUAUGACCUGGGCUACACACGUGCUACAAUGGCAAGUACAACGAGUCGCCAACCCGCGAGGGUGCGCAAAUCUCUUAAAGCUUGUCUCAGUUCGGACUGUAGGCUGCAACUCGCCUACACGAAGUCGGAAUCGCUAGUAAUCGCGGAUCAGCACGCCGCGGUGAAUACGUUCCCGGGUCUUGUACACACCGCCCGUCACACCAUGAGAGUUUGUAACACCCAAAGUCGGUGAGGUAACCUUUUAUUAGGAGCCAGCCGCC
rnacentral:rRNA from 1 species